UACGGGGGGAGCAAGCGUUGUUCGGAUUUACUGGGCGUAAAGGGCGCGUAGGCGGCGUGACAAGUCACUUGUGAAAUCUCCGGCUUAACCCGGAGCGGCCAAGUGAUACUGUCGUGCUAGAGUGCGGAAGGGGCUACUGGAAUUCUCGGUGUAGCGGUGAAAUGCGUAGAUAUCGAGAGGAACACCUGCGGCGAAGGCGGGUAGCUGGGCCGACACUGACGCUGAUGCGCGAAAGCCAGGGGAGCGAACGGG
rnacentral:rRNA from 1 species